rnacentral:hammerhead_ribozyme from 1 species
AUCCGGCUGACGAGUCACAAAUAGGACGAAACGCGCAUCCUGGAU